GUCCGUUCAUCUCUUCGGAGACGCAUGACACCCAAGCAUGGAACGGGGCUUGGA
ncrna:unclassified sequences Glutamine-II riboswitch (downstream peptide RNA)